UUCAUCAUAUAUGCAUAGUCACUUUAACCAUACCUACAUGUACAUACUACCUCAAUAAGCCUGACUAACAGGUGUCUGUAUAUAGCCUUGCUUCUCUUUUUUCAAAUGUCUUUUUACUCUUGUUUUAUUUCUUUACUUACCUACACACACACACACACAUACCUUUUUUCCCCGCCCCAUUGGUUAGAGCCUGUAAGUAACCAUUUCACUGUAAGGUCUACACCGGUUGUAUUCGGCGCAGGUGACAAAUAAGCUUUGAUUUGAUUUGAUUUGAUUAAGCCCGUCAGUGGUGACUCGAUGAAAGAUUUUUGUACUUUAUGCCGUCGGGAAUUCUCAAUUGGCCAUGGAAGGGAAAAUGACCUCACUCAGCAUGCAUCCACAGAAAUGCACAAGAAGGCCACGCUAGCUAAAGGUGCUAGCAAUAUCGAUGCAUUCUUCGAGACGUCUACUGCGGGAAAUGACAAAAUCACGGCAAGUGAAGCCUCGCAUGUGUACCAUACGGUUAAACACGGACUCGGCUACAACGGCACCGACUGUCUUGUUAAGCUCAACGGUGCUUUUGUUUCAUGACUCAAAUGUUGUGACGAAGGUGCACUUGGGAAGAACGAAAGCGGAGAUGAUUACAAUGAAUGUUUAUGACCGAAGACUGUGUGGGAUAUUUUGGAUGAUCUGUCCCCGACCGAAGGCGAGCCCGUGUAUUUCUCAGUUGCCAGUAAUGCCUCAAACAAGGGAAAGAGAAACCUGUUUUCAGUGUGUGUGAGAUAUUUCUCUGUGUCUGAUGGAGUGCAGUGCAAGUUACUUGACUUUUAUGAAGACAGUGAUGAAACUGCAAAUGGCAUACAUCAAGCUCUGACGAACUGUCUGGAAAAACAUGAACUGGAUAUUAGACACAUCACAGCCCUAUGCAGCAGAUAAUGCCAAUGUCAACUUUGUAAAACACCUAUCCGUUUACCAGUUAUUGAGCGGUGCCAACAAUCGCAUUCUGAAAGCGAAUUGCCCAGCUCACAUAGCUCAUAAUGCCUGUAAGCACGCCUGCGAUCAGCGGUCAGUGGAUAUUGAGACAAUUGUUUUAAUGAUCUACAGCCACUUCUCAGUAUCUGCUUCCCGAAGAGAGGAACUGCGUGCAUUUUUUGCCUUUGUUGACAUUGAGUGGCAUGAAAUUCUGCGAUAUGUUUGCACACAAUGGCUCUCUCAUCAUCCAGCUGUCGAUCGUCUCCUGCAAAGCUGGUCAGCUCUUACUUCAUACUUCAGGUCCAUUGGGGAGACCUGUCCUGUGGCACUGAAGAGUAUUUUUGAGUAUGAAGAAAAAAAAGAAGCUGCUGAGAUUUAUCUGUGCUUUUCCCACAACGUGGGGUGUUUUUAACCAACUCGUAAAAAAGCUGGAGGAAACAACACUCUGCAUCACAGAUGUUUUACGAGGAAGUCCAAAAGUUCAAACUGAAGAUGCUUCAGCAGAAACAGGACAGCUUUUUUGGAUACCAGACCAAGCAGCUGAUGGACAAACAAUUGUCAGACAAAGGUCCAAGCAGCAACAGGACAUUGUGACGUUCUAUGACACUGUCAUUACAUACAUUGACAAGUGGUUUGAUUUCUCACCAGAAAAUGUAAUGGUGAAACUAAAACCGAUCGACCUCUAUGAGGAGCUCUCCUUCACUGACCUGGAGCAGGUGGUGGUUGCCCUCAAAAUGACAGAGACAGUCAGUAUGGACCAACUCUAUGAAGAGUUUUGUGCUAGCCGGGAAGACACACAGAGCCAGACAGGAUACCACAAAAUCCACCAGUGAGAAGUGGGUGGCAGUUUUCCAAAACCUAGGGAAAGCCAACUUGAUCAACAAGCACAGAGCUGAUCAAAAAUUUACUUAAAAUAUCUGUGAACUGUGAUUUGUCAUGUAUGUGAUUUGUCAUGUAAGGACUUCUCUCUGGCUAUGCAAAAGGACAAAGGACUGCUUGAAUCAGUCGAGCAGCAAAAAAUAUCCAUGGAAAAAGUAGACUUGGGACUCCAUUUCCACGACUAGUGACAGAAUUGCAUUGUGUCGACUUGCGCUGCAACAGACUUCCACAACGAUUUUCCACGUUGCUACCAACGUUACUAUAUUGUCAAAAAGAAGGGAAAAAAUGUUGUUCUCACACAUUAGUAUUAUUUAUCACUGUAAAUUAAAGGAAUGAGUGGUUUUGGGUGGAUUUUUCCUUUAACAUGACUGAAGUCAGAGAUUAAGAGGCCCAACUCGGCGGGAAAUCAGUCUCUUUCCAGCAGGUGGUGUACUUUCGUUGUGGUCAACAAUAAAAAUGUAUGGUUUA